CAUUUUACUACUGGAAUUACACAUCUUUAUUUACUGUCCUUAACACCCGGAGGCUACUUGAAGAAGGAUUUAAUUUUCAAAGUCCAGUCACUCAAUGCCUAGCCCUGCCACUAAUGUCUUGGUCAGCUCCUGGCAAAAGCCCAUCUGUCAACAUCAACAUCAACCUCAUUACCACCUCAAAUGAGUCCACACUGCAAAUUUACUCCAUUAUAUUUAGGACUUUCCAGAGGUUCAAGAUAACCUGGACCGAGGCCUGGGAAGAGGUUCCGUUUAGAAGUUGCCUGACAAAGUCAUAUGUAAUAUCUAAACCAAAUUUUGUCACAUGGGAG